rnacentral:lncRNA from 1 species
UGAAAGAAGUCAAAUCCUAAAUAAAAUAUUAGAUGUGUUUUAAACUUAUUGCUAAGCUGGCAGAGAACAAAGAAAACACAGAGGCCAAAAACCAAAGUGAGAUCAAUAACCUUAGUAGAUAUUUGAAUGCCAAAGCCUGUUUUUUAUUCCAGGUUUUCUGUUAUGCCCUGGACAUCUGGACUGCAGUGAGGGAAGCAGAACAGGAGAUACAACAGAGGGUCCACCAAAGUGGAGAGUCCAGUCUGAGAUCACCCAGGAGCGCUGUGGCCCCAGAGAGCUACAGCAUCAUAGUGGGUCCUGGGACGCUGGUAGCAUAGGGCAUGAGUGCUCUGGGUUCAAGGUGCCACUGUUCUGAGCUCCUGAUUGUGCUAUUCAGGCGACAGGAAUGGCUUCCUAAAGGUCAACUCAAAAUAAACUGCCUCAUUGCCAAUGCUUAUCAAUUUUGAAACAAGAAAAAAAAGUACAAGUA